ACCAGUGUGGUGUAGUGGUUUGAGUGUUGGACUGUGACUCUGGAGACCAGGGUUUGAUUCCCAGCUCUGCCA